rnacentral:lncRNA from 1 species
UCAAUGUGUCUCUAUGGGUUGUCAUCCUCCGAAAGGGUUUGUUGCCAUGAACUCGAUGAUUCCAUUAUUCAAUUUAUAGUGGGUUGUAGCAAGUGCCGAAUCUAAAUUUUGCAUAUGAAAGUCCUCUAAUGAUGGUGUUGCUAACUUCCCUAGCGACAUUUCUUCAUUAUCCAUUUGUUGGACGAAUAGAUCCAUCUAGACACUGAAAAGAAAAAUAAAAAAAUCUACACAAAAUUUAAGUAUUAGCGGGUUAGUAAAAUCAAUACAAAGAUCAAAUACAACAAACUAAGUUGUUCCCUGGCAACGGUGCCAUAAAAGCUUGUUGACGGCAGUUAGCGCACCAAUUCGUGUAACGCAAGCGCGUGGAUUAGUUAUAGCUUUUCCCUUAGAGUAUUCCCCCAAAGUUACUAAUCCGUGGAACAAGUGGAUUGCUGGCUCUCACUUUAUACCAAUCUUGCUAA